UUUGUUCUAUUAUGGGCUAACAGUUAACAUAGAAAUGACCAAACAUACAUUUAAAUGCCCUCUGUAAACAGACAGUAUUACAUGCUGCCGCUGGUAGGGGCAGUAAAUUACAACCUGACCUACUUUCACUUAACUACGGUGCCUAUGUCCGAGCUCUGC